rnacentral:rRNA from 1 species
UGUAACGACUUGGGCACUGUCUCAACGAGAGACCCGGUGAAAUCAUAGUACCUGUGAAGAUGCAGGUUACCCGCGACAGGACGGAAAGACCCCGUGGAGCUUUACUGCAACCUGAUAUUGAAUGUUGGUGCGACAUGUACAGCAUAGGUGGGAGACUGAGAAGCCUGGACGCCAGUCUAGGUGGAGUCGCCGUUGGGAUACCACCCUUGAUGUUUCCAGC